rnacentral:rRNA from 1 species
UACGUAGGGUGCAAGCGUUGUCCGGAAUUAUUGGGCGUAAAGAGCUCGUAGGCGGUUUGUCGCGUCUGCUGUGAAAACCCGAGGCUCAACCUCGGGCCUGCGGUGGGUACGGGCAGACUAGAGUGCGGUAGGGGAGAUUGGAAUUCCCGGUGUAGCGGUGAAAUGCGCAGAUAUCGGGAAGAACACCCGUGGCGAAGGCGGCUCUCUGGGACGGUACUGACGCUGAGACGCGAAAGCGUGGGGAGCGAACAGG